rnacentral:lncRNA from 1 species
GUUACACUCCCAUUUUUCCUAAGACAUGUUGUGCAUCUGCCAACUUGAUGCUCUCACACAUCCCACAAUGAUUUCUUUGGAAGAAUGCAAUGGCUGUUUUGAGAAUGAAGGUGAGACAUUUGCAGCUUUGAGAAUGGAAGUCACACGCUAAAGAUGAUGGAGCUGCAGCCCCCGAUGACUUUGUGUGCUGCAGCACCAGCCCUGAACUGCCCAUCUUUGGACUUUCCUUUCUAUGUUUGGCACGGCAUCUCAACUUGAUGUCUAUUUCUUCUUGUUCUCCUUCACCUCACAUGAACCUUCCAAGUCAUAAUUCUUUGGAAAUAGACACAAGGAGCUUUAUUUCAAAUUACCAUCCUUUACUUAAGAGGUUCCAUCUCUAAGCAUAUCAGCAAUCAUGGUGACGUGCCACUCUGCUGGUAAUUCAUAUGGCUUAUUCAGAAGCACAGAUCAUGGCUGUUAGACCUGCCAGAUGUUCCCGGUCCCUAGCUGCAAUUAAGUUCCAACAUAGCCCAAUUUGAAAGAGAUUGAGAAACCACAGUUCUCAUUAAGAAUAUUCAUGAGUUUGCACCUUGAAAAGCCAGCAAUCACAUGAUAUGCCAGAACGGACAAGAUCGUUUGAGAAGAGGAAAAAAAAAAAGAUGCAAUUUAAAAUAA